rnacentral:rRNA from 1 species
AUUGAACGCUGGCGGCAGGCCUAACACAUGCAAGUCGAACGAGUGGCGGACGGGUGAGUAAUGUCCGGGAAACUGCGUGUUGGAGGGGGAUAACUAAUGGAAACGGUAGAUAAUACCGCAUACAAUCAGAUGUGCCCCGAUGGUAUUAGCUAGUUGGUGGGGUAAAGGCUCCCCAAGGCGACGAUCCCUAGCUGGUCUGCGAGGAUGACCAGCCACACUGGAACUGCGACACGGUCCAGACUCCUACGGGAGGCAGCAGUGGGGAAUAUUGCACAAUGGGCGCAAGCCUGAUGCAGCCAUGCCGCGUGUAUGAAGAAGGCCUUCGGGUUGUAAAGUACUUUCAGCGGGGAGGCGUUACCCGCAGAAGAAGCACCGGCUAACUCCGUGCCAGCCGCCGCGGUAAUAC